rnacentral:rRNA from 1 species
AUUAUAAAAUACUAAAAUAGUAGAUAAUUAUUUAUUGAAACUUAAAUAUUUUGGCGGUAUUUUAGUUUAUUUAGAGGAAUCUGUUUAUUAAUUGAUAAUCCACGAAUAAAUUUACUUAAUUUAUUAUUUUGUAUAUCGUUGUUAAAAAAAUAUUUUUUAAUAAUUAUAAUAUUUUAAAUUUAUUAAAUAAAAUUAAAUCAAAUCAAGAUGCAGAUUAUAAUUAAGAAUAUAAUGGAUUACAAUAAAUUUAUUUAAAUGAAUUUUAAUUUGUAAUAAUUAAAUGAAAGUGGAUUUAAAUGUAAUUUUAUUUAUUU